rnacentral:lncRNA from 1 species
UUCCUCAUGUCCUUCUGCAUGUCACAUGCAGGAUACAGGAACUGGGAGAGAGCUGAGUAAGCAUGAAAAGAUCACUUUUAGAGUCUCCAUUACUGCCUCUGCCUCCAGUCCCAGCACUGCAGAAACACAGACGAGAGAGGAGAGUUAUGGAUUGAGCUGACUCAUUCACUGGGACUCCCACCUUCCUGUCAAAUUGGGCCAUGGUGAAGUCAGUGAAGAAUCAUUAGCAUUUCAGAUGACACCAUUACUUCAUGCAGCAUUCUAGAGCAAAUUUGCUUUUGUCAUUACUGGCAUGCACUUUGAUAUGGAUCAUUAAAAAAAUCAUUAAUAAAAAAGUUUCUCUCUUAGGAGCUUAUAGUUGAGAUUCUUGGGUAAAAUCCAACUCCUGUGUCAAAAACUGAUGUUACUCGCUAAUCUGAGUUUGUCACCUCUGAGUCUAAUUAGAGAAGUCGAAAUGGAUUUUCCUUAGCAUUCCCUAGAGGAUUAACAUGUGUGAUCCCUUAGAGAUUUUGGAGAAGUACAAGGGAAAAUGUAGAUUUAAACAAAGAAAAUGCAUUGCAAAAAUAACCGCAUUAUUACACACUUUCUUCAGGGAUUAGCAAUACCCCACUACAGACAAAUUGGAUGCCUGGAUCUAUAGCACAUGCUCUGUGAAGCCAAGUGCUUGUGAGGGCUGCUCUCUGAGUCCUUCUGUUCUG